rnacentral:misc_RNA from 1 species
ACUUGGUUUGUAGAGUCGACGAGAUGCGCCGCCUUUCCGAAAAAUGUAUGGACACCCGUGGCAAUCACAACCGCUUCAAUCUCUCCUUGUUUGCAAGUAGAACCGGAGUAGAUUCCAUCACCGGGGCCUUUAGUCACGGGCAAGGACUCCCCAGUGAGAGCAGACUGGUCGAUUUUCAAAGGAUCCCCCUCGAGCAAACGCGCAUCGGCAGGGACAAUAUCACCCAGCUUGAUGCUGAUAAUAUCUCCCGGCACAAGCACAGACGCAUCCUCCUCGCUCCACCGCCCGUCUCUAAGCACCUUAGCUCGGGGGGCAAGGCUCGCCAUAAGCGCAGCUGCAGCGUUUCCGGCGUUAUUCUCCUCAAUGAACGAGAUGGUUGAAUUGAUCACCAGUAAUGUGAUGAUACCAACAAAAUCUUGCCAAUCCGGCGGUUUUCCCCCUCCAUUAGCCAGGGCUAUAGCCAUGAUGGCCGCCGCUUCCAUAACCCAUGACAGCGGAUUCCACAUAAACCCUAGAAACUUCAGAAGCUUGCUCUCCUUUUUCUCUUCCAGUUUGUUGUGGCCGAAAAUAGCCAGCCGCUCCUCUGCGGCCUGAGUUGUCAGGCCCUCCGGGCUGCAUCUCAGAUUCUCAAACACCUCCUCAAUCGGUAUGUUCUCCAGAUCAACAGCUUCCUUUAGCACAGCCUCAAGCACCUCUGCCUUGUCCCCCAUGGC